GGCUGGGCCACCCCGUAGAGGACUGCGGCAUCCUCACGACCAUCACCAGCAACAGCAACAGCAGCAUUAUCAGCAGCAACAGCAGGAGCAACAGCAGGAGCAACAGCACCACACCAGCAGGAGCAGUAGCAGGAACACCAGCAGCAGGAUUGUCGUACCGUAUCCAUGCUGCUGGAUGCGGGAAAAUUUGCCUUUUGAAGAUGGAGGAAAAAACUUCCCAUGGACUUGUACGAGUGCCGUACAAAACAUCUGCCCAUGUCAAGCAUUUUCUCAGGCACACAAGCCUCGCAAACACACACCGGCCGG
rnacentral:lncRNA from 1 species